rnacentral:rRNA from 1 species
UACGUAGGGUGCGAGCGUUAUUCGGAAUUACUGGGCGUAAAGCGUGCGCAGGCGGUUCGUUAAGUUUGUUGUGAAAGCCCCGGGCUCAACCUGGGAAUGGCAAUGGAAACUGGCGGGCUGGAGUAUGGCAGAGGGGGGUGGAAUUCCGCGUGUAGCAGUGAAAUGCGUAGAGAUGCGGAGGAACACCGAUGGCGAAGGCAGCCCCCUGGGCCAAUACUGACGCUCAGGCACGAAAGCGUGGGGAGCAAACAGG